GUUCGACUGGAAUCGCAGAGGAAGGCCUGCGUGCCGAGUCUCCCUCAGAGCGCCUGGCAGAGAGGAGGCGCCCUCGUGGAAAAUCCAGGACUGCCCGUCCUUGAGUGGAAGUUCUGGAAGUUGAGGCCUCAACGACCUUUGAGGCAGAGGGUCCUGGUAUCUGUUUUAGACAAGGCCAGAGGUUUUGCCUGGCUGCUGGCAGCAGGGACACUGUGUCUGCAGCUAAGAGGGAUGGUGGGACCCUCGGCCUCCCUGCUCCUCUGCCUGUGCCUCUCACCCAGUGUACCUCAGAAGGAACCACUCCUGCCAGCACCUUGAUUUCAGAUUUCUACCCUCCAGAAUGCUUUUAAACAUAGACGAAUUUAACCAGGAUGCUUUUUCUCCUCUGGACUUCUUUGUUUUAAAUUGGGCUCCUCCAGUAAAUCUAGCUCCUCAGUCAAGUCUUGGGUGAUGGGUUCUCCGUGCUUUUCAUUCUGCAG
rnacentral:lncRNA from 1 species